GAUGAACGCUGGCGGCGUGCCUAACACAUGCAAGUCGAGCGAUCUCUUCGGAGAGAGCGGCGGACGGGUGAGUAACGCGUGGGUAACCUGCCCUGUACACACGGAUAACAUACCGAAAGGUAUACUAAUACGGGAUAUCAUACGAAAGUCGCAUGGCUUUUGUAUCAAAGCUCCGGCGGUACAGGAUGGACCCGCGUCUGAUUAGCUAGUUGGUAAGGUAAUGGCUUACCAAGGCAACGAGCAGUAGCCGACCUGAGAGGGUGAUCGGCCACACUGGAACUGAGACACGGUCCAGACUCCUACGGGAGGCAGCAGUGGGGAAUAUUGCACAAUGGGCGAAAGCCUGAUGCAGCAACGCCGCGUGAGCGAUGAAGGCCUUCGGGUCGUAAAGCUCUGUCCUCAAGGAAGAUAAUGACGGUACUUGAGGAGGAAGCCCCGGCUAACUACGUGCCAGCAGCCGCGGUAAUAC
rnacentral:rRNA from 1 species